GGAGGCUAUAUACAGGGUAUUACGGUACAGAGUCCAUGUGGAGGCUAUAUACAGGGUGUUACGGUACAGAGUCAAUGUGGAGGCUAUAUACAGGGGGUACCGGUACAGAGUCAAUGUGGAGGCUAUAUACAGGGGGUACCGGUACAGAGUCAAUGUGGAGGCUAUAUACAGGGUAUUACGGUACAGAGUCAAUGUGGAGGCUAUAUACAGGGGGGUACCGGUACAGAGUCAAUGUGGAGGCUAUAUACAGGGGGUACCGGUACAGAGUCAAUGUGGAGGCUAUAUACAGGGGGUACCGGUACAGAGUCAAUGUGGAGACUAUAUACAGGGGGUACCGGUACAGAGUCAAUGUGGAGGCUAUAUACAGGGUAUUACGGUACAGAGUCAAUGUGGAGGCUAUAUACAGGGGGUACCGGUACAGAGUCAAUGUGGAGGCUAUAUACAGGGGGUACCGGUACAGAGUCAAUGUGGAGGCUAUAUACAGGGUGUUACGGUACAGAGUCAAUGUGGGGCUAUAUACAGG
ensembl:lncRNA